AGUGAACGCUGGCGGUAGGCCUAACACAUGCAAGUAGAACGGCAGCACAGUAAGAGCUUGCUCUUACGGGUGGCGAGUGGCGGACGGGUGAGGAAUACAUCGGAAUCUACUUUUUCGUGGGGGAUAACGUAGGGAAACUUACGCUAAUACCGCAUACGACCUACGGGUGAAAGCAGGGGAUCUUCGGACCUUGCGCGAUUGAAUGAGCCGAUGUCGGAUUAGCUAGUUGGCGGGGUAAAGGCCCACCAAGGCGACGAUCCGUAGCUGGUCUGAGAGGAUGAUCAGCCACACUGGAACUGAGACACGGUCCAGACUCCUACGGGAGGCAGCAGUGGGGAAUAUUGGACAAUGGGCGCAAGCCUGAUCCAGCCAUACCGCGUGGGUGAAGAAGGCCUUCGGGUUGUAAAGCCCUUUUGUUGGGAAAGAAAGGCAGCAGGUUAAUACCCCGCUGUUCUGACGGUACCCAAAGAAUAAGCACCGGCUAACUUCGUG
rnacentral:rRNA from 1 species